AUUGAACGCUGGCGGCAGGCCUAACACAUGCAAGUCGAGCGAGCGGCGGACGGGUGAGUAAUGUCUGGGAAACUGCCUGAUGGAGGGGGGUAACUCCUGGAAACGGUAGCUAAUACCGCAUACCAUCAGAUGUGCCCAGUGGGGAUUAGCUAGUAGGUGGGGUAACGGCUCACCUAGGCGACGAUCCCUAGCUGGUCGGAGAGGAUGACCAGCCACACUGGAACUGAGACACGGUCCAGACGCCUACGGGAGGAAGCAGUGGGGAAUAGUGCAAAAUGGGCGAAAGCCUGAUGCAGCCAUGCCGCGUGAGUGAAGAAGGUCUUCGGGUUGUAAAGCACUUUCAGUGGGGAGGCGUUACCCGCAGAGGAAGCACCGGCUAACUCCGUGCCAGCAGCCGCGGUAAUUC
rnacentral:rRNA from 1 species